rnacentral:rRNA from 1 species
GACGAACCGAGCGAACGUUGUUCGGAAUCACUGGGCUUAAAGGGCGCGUAGGCGGCCUGAUAAGUAGGGGGUGAAAUCCUGCGGCUUAACCGCAGGGCUGCCUUCUAAACUGUCAGGCUCGAGCACAGUAGAGGCAGGUGGAAUUCCCGGUGUAGCGGUGGAAUGCGUAGAGAUCGGGAAGAACAUCGGUGGCGAAGGCGGCCUGCUGGGCUGUUGCUGACGCUGAGGCGCGACAGCGUGGGGAGCAAACAGG